rnacentral:rRNA from 1 species
GACGAACGCUGGCGGCGUGCCUAAUACAUGCAAGUUGAGCGAUGAAGAUUGGUGCUUGCACCAAUUUGAAGAGCAGCGAACGGGUGAGUAACGCGUGGGGAAUCUGCCUUUGAGCGGGGGACAACAUUUGGAAACGAAUGCUAAUACCGCAUAACAACUUUAAACAUAAGUUUUAAGUUUGAAAGAUGCAAUUGCAUCACUCAAAGAUGAUCCCGCGUUGUAUUAGCUAGUUGGUGAGGUAAAGGCUCACCAAGGCGAUGAUACAUAGCCGACCUGAGAGGGUGAUCGGCCACCUUGGGCCUGAGACACGGCCCAAACCCCUACGGGAGGCAGCAGUAGGGAAUCUUCGGCAAUGGACGAAAGUCUGACCGAGCAACGCCGCGUGAGUGAAGAAGGUUUUCGGAUCGUAAAACUCUGUUGGUAGAGAAGAACGUUGGUGAGAGUGGAAAGCUCAUCAAGUGACGGUAACUACCCAGAAAGGGACGGCUAACUACGUG